rnacentral:rRNA from 1 species
GACGAACGCUGGCGGCGUGCUUAACACAUGCAAGUCGAACGGUAAGGCCCUUCGGGGUACACGAGUGGCGAACGGGUGAGUAACACGUGGGUGAUCUGCCCUGCACUUCGGGAUAAGCCUGGGAAACUGGGUCUAAUACCGGAUAGGACUCCUGCCUGCAUGGGUGGGGGUGGAAAGCUUUUGUGGUGUGGGAUGGGCCCGCGGCCUAUCAGCUUGUUGGUGGGGUGAUGGCCUACCAAGGCGACGACGGGUAGCCGGCCUGAGAGGGUGACCGGCCACACGGGGACUGAGAUACGGCCCAGACGCCUACGGGAGGCAGCAGUGGGGAAUAUUGCACAAUGGGCGCAAGCCUGAUGCAGCGACGCCGCGUGAGGGAUGACGGCCUUCGGGUUGUAAACCUCUUUCAGCACCGACGAAGCGCAAGUGACGGUAGGUGCAGAAGAAGGACCGGCCAACUACGUGCCAGCCGCCGCCGUAA